rnacentral:rRNA from 1 species
AACGAACGCUGGCGGCGCGCCUAAUACAUGCAAGUCGAGCGAGAAGACGUAGCAAUACGUUUGUAAAGCGGCGAACGGGUGAGGAAUACAUGGGUAACCUACCCUCGAGUGGGGAAUAACUAGCCGAAAGGUUAGCUAAUACCGCGUACGCUCCUUGGACUUCGGUUCAGGGAGGAAAGCGAUACCGUGGGUAUCGCGCUCUUGGAUGGGCUCAUGUCCUAUCAGCUUGUUGGUGAGGAACGGCUCACCAAGGCUUCGACGGGUAGCUGGUCUGAGAGGACGAUCAGCCACACUGGCACUGCGACACGGGCCAGACUCCUACGGGAGGCAGCAGUAAGGAAUAUUGCGCAAUGGGCGAAAGCCUGACGCAGCGACGCCGCGUGGGGGAUGAAGGUCUUCGGAUUGUAAACCCCUUUCGGGAGGGAAGAUGGAACGAGCAAUCGUUCGGACGGUACCUCCAGAAGCAGCCACGGCUAACUUCGUGCCAGCCGCCGCGGUAA